rnacentral:lncRNA from 1 species
GGCUGCGGGCGGUGAGGGGGCAGCAGGUGUGGCACAGAGUCCUGUUUACCUGCCGCUGAGCCUGGCGGGCGCUGCCUAUUUGCUGAGCUCCCUUCCCGGCCUGGCUCAGGUCUCUGUAGGUCAGGCUCCCCUGGCCUCCUCUCUACCCUACCACUCACCACAAUGACAUCUUCCUGCCUUCUGAUGGUGCCAUGGUCUGAAUGUUGGUGUCUCCCCAAAAUUCAUACGUUGAAACCUGACCACCAAUGUGAGGGUAUCAGGAGGUGGGGCCUUUGGAAGGCGAUUGGGUCAUGAAGAUGGAGCCUCAUGAAUGGGACUAGUGCCCUAAUGAAAAGAUGUCCCAGCAUGCUGCCCUGCCUGUUCUACACUCUGAGGACACAGUGAGAAGGCACCAUCUAUGAGCCAGAAAGUGGGCCUUCAGCAGACACCAAAUCUACUUUGAUCUUGGACUUCCCGGCCUCCAGAACUGUUAGAAAUAAAUUUCUUUAUAAGCCACCCAGCCUAUGGCAUUUUGUUACAGCAGCACUAAGGUAGAUGGCUUCUAGUUUUCCAAGGUCCUUGGGAUCAUUUCUGUGAGUAAGCCUGGUUGUACAGUGGCAAUUCCUCCUGCCAGCCCUGGUCCCCAGAGAGGAGCCAUCACUGAAUUUCUAAGUGAUCCAUUCCUAACAUCCUUGGUAAGUGGGUUAUCAUCUGGGUCCUGUGUGCAGCACAGGCCUCUGGGAGUUCCAGCCUUACAUGGCACACCUCCUCUGGUGGGCCCACCUCUCUGAGCCUAAGUGCCAAGGGCCUACCGUCUGCUCCAGCAGUUCUCACUUCAUGUUGGCCGCUGCUUUUUCCCAUGUUUCUAGGAACCAUCUGUAGUGAGUUUGCACCAUCUCCUGGGACACUGGUGAGAGUAUUAAAUCCUGUAU